AGAUAUUGUACCAGACUUGUUACAUGUUCCAAACUUAAAUACAACGAUCAGUUAAAAAACAUCUGAACACAUAUUUAUUAGGAUAAAAACCUUAUUCCAAUAUAUAAGGUAUAGUUCAAUAUUUAUAUAUAAGUACAUAUAUUUUUUCUUUGCGACUGUAAUAUUGUUACAUUCAUCACAAGUUAAGCAAGCCAAAAGUUUUUUGUGCAGAAAGUUCAGAAAUGGCAUUCGGCGUGAGAUGUAUUUACACCUCAAUUAUAAUACUCAGCCAGAUAAGCGGAAUAAACCUUAUUUUCUUCUAUUUUGCGUUCUUCCUAUGCCUUUUUGGCUAGUACUUGCAUUUCUGUAUGUUGGCGACGUUCAAAUGUCUUGUGGGCUCCUGGCCAACACAUUUUUCUUCGAUUUUCCUAUCCUAUAUCCUUAAAACGUGAAAUUUCAGGUCCAUUUACAGAAAAACUAAUUUGCCUCACUAGAAUGCUUAUAAAAGACUACACAUAAGACAUUUAGGGGCCGAUUACAUGGAGUAUUUUCAACCCCGGGGUUGAACUCAGCCCUGUUUACCGGGUUGAAAUUUCAGCCCUGUCUGUAAUACAAAACUCUAUCAAAAUCAAACGCGCGAUUACAUGACAAAAUUUUCAACCCAGGGCUCGAGUUCAACCCCGGGGUUGAAAUUUCAACCCUGCUUCAGCUAGCAGGGUUGAAAUUUCAACCCCGGGGUUGAACUCAGCCCUGGGUUGAAAAUUUUGUCAUGUAAUCGUUUUAACCCAGGGCUGAAAUUAUAAUGAGUUAUUCGAGCAUGCGUGGUAGUGACUAUUUAUUACAAGAAAACAAAAUAAAGGCUUUUUUACUUCCGCGAAUCGAUGCCGAGAACGUAUAGUAUAACGUUUUAACCCCGGGGGGUUGAAAUCGUCCAUGUAAUCGCAAAAAAUUUCAACCCGGUUAACAGGGCUGAGUUCAACCCCGGGGUUGAAAAUUCUCCAUGUAAUCGGCCCCUUAAACGGUUAUAUACCUUGAUUUUUCAAGCUGUGUUCGAGCUAUCGCUGUUCCAAAAUGUGAAAAAUAAGCCAAAAAUCCCAAAAUUGCAAAAAUCCUGGGCACUAGUCUGAAAACCCGUUUACAGAAGCUCAUACCUCAAGAAGAACUUGAAAAAUCAAGGUACAAUCCGUUCAAAUGUCUUCUAUGUAGUUUUUUGUAAGCUUGCUAAUGAUUCAAUUAUUUUUUUCUGCCUGAAAUUUCACAUUUUUUGCAUGGGAGUUUAAUAGAACGUGUUGGCUGGAGCCCACAAGACGUUUGAACGCCCCCGACUGAUACAGAAAUGGACUUACAAGCGUUAAAGGCAUACAGGACGAAGGCAGAAUGGAAUUGCCUCCCGAUAUUGUGAUUUUUCAUUCAUUUUUUGAUCCUCUGUCUAUAGGGUUUUAAAAUACGGUUAAUUUCAGUACUUGCAACAGCUGUUUUCCCAUCGUAUGUUUUCAAUACGCGUUCAGGUAGGUUCAUAAUCGUUUCAAAUAUUUAGGUUGGGUUCAUAUGACCAUUACAUAAAAGUCCAGCUCUCCUAGACGAGAUUUCGCGUGCUAGUAAUUAUAGCAAUUAUAGCAAUUCGCGAAAAAACUGCCAUAUUGAAAUCUGUCCACAAGCUGUCGACAAGUUGUGUUCGCACGGCUUGUUCCCAGUUGUUGCAACAAAUUUGGAACAAGCUGUUAUCAACUUGUAACAAGCUUGAUGGCAUUAUCAGACUUGUUACAAGGUUGUUCUAACAAGUCUGAUACAGUCAUGAUAUAACAAGAAUGUUACAAGGUUGUUCUAACAAGUCUGAUACAGUCAUGAUAUAACAAGAAUGUUACAA